CCUUCGGGCAGCGAGAUAGUGAUCCUAAACCAGCUCGCGAGAAAAACCUCUAAGGUUAGGCUAAAUCAACCCGUACCGUAAACCGACACAGGUAGUCGAGAUGAGUAUUCUAAGGCGCUCGGGUGAGCCACGGAGAAGGAACUAGGCAAAUUAAUGCUGUAACUUCGGGAUAAAGCAUACCGCAGUGAUGCGGUCUCAGUAAAUUGGUUCAACCAACUGUUUAGCAAAAACACAGAGCCCUGCAAAAUCGAAAGAUGACGUAUAGAGCCUGAUACCUGCCCGGUGCUGGAAGGUUAAGGAAGCUUGUCAGGAGUUAAAUAUGAAGCUUGCGACUGAAGCCCCAGUAAACGGCGGCCGUAACGAUAACGGUCCUAAGGUAGCGAAAUUCCUUGUCGGGUAAGUUCCGACCUGCACGAAUGGUCUAAUGAGUUGAACACUGUCUCCUCCGUGAGCCCGGUGAAAUUGUAGUAUCGGUGAAGAUGCCGGUUACCCGCCACGGGACGAAAAGACCCCGUGAACCUUCACUACAACUUUACAUUGAUUUUGAGUAACAGAUGUGUAGCAUAGUUGGGAGACUUUGAAGCAGUGGCGCCAGCCAUUGUGGAGUCACCGUUGAAAUACCAACCUUCUGUUGCUUAGAGUCUAAUCCAGAAAUGGAGACAUUGUAUGGUGGGUAGUUUGACUUGGGUGGUCGCCUCCUAAAGCGUAACGGAGGCUCGCAAAGGUACCCUCAGUACGGUUGGUAAUCGUACGUAGAGCGCAUUAGUAAAAGGGUGCUUGACUGUGAGGCUGACCAGCCGAGCAGGUGCGAAAGCAGGCUAAAGUGAUCCGGUGGUUCUGUAUGGAAGGGCCAUCGCUCAAAGGAUAAAAGGUACUCCCGGGAUAACAGGCUGAUCUCCCCCAAGAGCUCAUAUCGACGGGGAGGUUUGGCACCUCGAUGUCGGUUCGUCACAUCCUGGGGCUGGAGAAGGUCCCAAGGGUUGGGCUGUUCGCCCAUUAAAGUGGCACGUGAACUGGGUUCAGAACGUCGCAAGACAGUUCGGUCUCUAUCUGUGGUGGGCGUUAGUAAAUUGAGAGGACAUGCUCUUAGUACGAGAGGACCGGAGCGUAUGUGCCGCUGGUGUAUCGGUUGUGCCGCCAGGUGCAGUGCCGAGUAGCUAUGCACAGUCAGGAUAAGCGCUGAAAGCAUCUAAGCGCGAAACCUUCCUCAAGAUGAGUUUACUUUUAAGGGCCGUCGAAGACUACGACGUUGAUAGGCUAUAGGUGUAAAGGUGGUAACAUCAAAGCCGAGUAGUACUAAUUGCCC
rnacentral:rRNA from 1 species